UAGCACAGGGAGCUUGCUCCUGGGUGACGAGCGGCGGACGGGUGAGUAAUGUCUGGGAAACUGCCUGAUGGAGGGGGAUAACUACUGGAAACGGUAGCUAAUACCGCAUAACGUCUUCGGACCAAAGUGGGGGACCUUCGGGCCUCAUGCCAUCAGAUGUGCCCAGAUGGGAUUAGCUAGUAGGUGGGGUAAUGGCUCACCUAGGCGACGAUCCCUAGCUGGUCUGAGAGGAUGACCAGCCACACUGGAACUGAGACACGGUCCAGACUCCUACGGGAGGCAGCAGUGGGGAAUAUUGCACAAUGGGCGCAAGCCUGAUGCAGCCAUGCCGCGUGUGUGAAGAGGGCCUUCGGGUUGUAAAGCACUUUCAGCGAGGAGGAAGGGUUCAGUGUUAAUAGCACUGUGCAUUGACGUUACUCGCAGAAGAAGCACCGGCUAACUCCGUGCCAGCAGCCGCGGUAAUACGGAGGGUGCAAGCGUUAAUCGGAAUUACUGGGCGUAAAGCGCACGCAGGCGGUUUGUUAAGUCAGAUGUGAAAUCCCCGCGCUUAACGUGGGAACUGCAUUUGAAACUGGCAAGCUAGAGUCUUGUAGAGGGGGGUAGAAUUCCAGGUGUAGCGGUGAAAUGCGUAGAGAUCUGGAGGAAUACCGGUGGCGAAGGCGGCCCCCUGGACAAAGACUGACGCUCAGGUGCGAAAGCGUGGGGGAGCAAACAGGAUUAGAUACCCUGGUAGUCCACGCUGUAAACGAUGUCGACUUGGAGGUUGUGCCCUUGAGGCGUGGCUUCCGGAGCUAACGCGU
rnacentral:rRNA from 1 species